CCGCGGGCGGAGCUAAGGAUGGCGGGUCGCUGGGGUGGGGCCGCCGCGCAAGCGCCCUGAGCGAGUUAAGCGCCUAAGCGAGGAGUCGCCGCCACCGCCGCGUAGCAGGAGCGGCACCUUCUCUCCCGGCUUGCUUAGGCGAGGGUUGGCGAUGCCGCCUCCAGGCCAGGUCCGGCUGCCGGACUGGGACGCGCUGAAGCUCCGCGUGCGGAGCCUCAUCAGCAACCACCGCGUCAUGGUCUUUAGCAAGAGCUACUGCCCUUUUUGUCGAAAGGUGAAAGAUCUUUUUCAUUCGUUGGGAGUGGAAUACAGUGCUUUGGAGCUUGACAAGAUUGAUGAAGGACCCAGUAUUCAGGAAGUAUUACUCGAAUUGACUGGCCAGAGAACUGUCCCUAAUGUUUUUGUAAAUGGAACACAUGUGGGUGGAUGUGAUCAAACAUUUCAGGCUUACCAUAGUGGAUUAUUGCAAAAGCUUUUAGGGGAUGGCAAAGGUGAAGAGACGGAAGCCUAUGAUUAUGAUCUAAUUGUUAUUGGUGGAGGUUCUGGUGGACUUGCAUGUUCUAAGGAAGCUGCCACCUUAGGGAAGAAGGUGAUGGUGCUAGAUUAUGUUGUACCAACACCACUGGGUACUACAUGGGGACUUGGUGGCACUUGUGUAAAUGUUGGUUGCAUUCCUAAGAAACUGAUGCAUCAGGCAGCCCUUUUAGGCCAGGCAUUGCAAGACUCAAGGAAGUUUGGCUGGGAGUAUGAUCAGCAAGUUAAACACAACUGGGAGACCAUGGUUGAAGCAAUUCAAAAUCAUAUAGGAUCCUUGAACUGGGGUUAUCGGGUAGCCUUGCGUGAGAAGACUGUUACAUACCUCAAUGCCUAUGGGGAGUUUGUUGGGUCCCACAAGAUCAAGGCAACCAACAGAAAAGGACAAGAAACUUUCUAUACAGCUCAGGCAUUUGUCAUUGCCACUGGAGAAAGACCUCGAUAUUUAGGUAUCCCAGGAGACAAAGAAUACUGUAUUACAAGUGAUGAUCUCUUCUCAUUGCCCUACUGUCCUGGAAAGACUUUGGUUGUGGGAGCUUCUUACGUAGCUCUGGAAUGUGCUGGAUUUCUUGCUGGCCUAGGUUUGGAUGUCACAGUUAUGGUGCGCUCUAUCUUACUUCGUGGCUUUGAUCAAGAAAUGGCAGAGAGAGCAGGUGCCUAUAUGGAAACUCAUGGUGUAAAGUUCAUCAAGAAGUUUGUUCCUAUUGAGGUUAUAAAGUUGGAGGAUGGCAUGCCUGGAAGACUCAAAGUGGUUGCAAAAUCCACUGAAGGAUUACAGAUUAUUGAAGAAGAAUAUAACACUGUUUUGAUAGCUGUUGGUCGUGAUGCUUGUACGAAAAAUAUUGGCUUAGACAAAAUUGGUGUGAAAAUUAAUGAAAAGAAUGGGAAAAUACCUGUGAAUGAUGAAGAACAAACCAUUGUGCCUUAUGUCUAUGCUGUUGGCGAUAUUUUGGAAGGAAAGCUUGAACUUACACCAGUUGCCAUACAGGCAGGCAAGCUGUUAGCCCGCAGACUUUUUGGAGGGAGCUCAAUAAAGUGUGAUUACAUCAAUGUCCCAACUACAGUGUUUACACCUCUGGAAUAUGGAUGUUGUGGAUUACCAGAAGAACGCGCUGUUGAACAACUUGGACAAGAAAAUAUAGAGGUAUAUCAUACUUUGUUCUGGCCACUUGAAUGGACAAUACCCAGCAGAGACAACAACACUUGUUAUGCAAAAGUCAUCUGCAAUAAGCUUGACAAAAACCGUGUGAUAGGAUUUCAUGUUCUUGGGCCUAAUGCUGGGGAAAUUACCCAGGGAUUUGCAGCAGCAAUAAAGUGUGGCAUCACGAAGGAAUUACUUAAUGAAACAAUUGGUAUACAUCCAACUUGUGCAGAGGUAAGAGUAAUUAAUAAUAUUCCUAUGUAAAUAUGAAACGUAUGCUACCUACCUCGCUGCACCUUGAGCUGUGUUUCCUCUUCUUCACCAUGGCUAUCUCCUAAGAUCUCCCUUUAAUCACACAAGCAGCCACGCCUUGUGCUGUUUCCCUGAUGUGUUGCAGCACUCAUUUUCCUUUUCUUUCUACUUCCUCAUUAGUCUUGUCUAGAGCUACAGUGCUUUGCAGCUGUGCUCAUUUCAGGCUGCUGGAAUACAUGAUGCCUAGGAGUCAAGGCACUAUUCAGUGUGCCUUAGUCUUAAACAAGAAGCAUAUCUAUUAUUACUACUAUUAAAUUUUGUUCUGCCCCACAGCCAAAGAUGUCUGGGUGAUUUACAACAGUGUAUGAACCCACAACAAUAAAAUACAACUCUCAUACAAACACAUUAAAAUAAAUUUAAAAUAGCUAAAGUAAAAAGUAAGACUGACCUGUGAAAGAAAAAUAUUAUCUCCUAAGAUGGGUAGUUCCCAUAUGCCACUGGGUAGCUGAGUAUGUCUUUAGAAGUUUCAGCACAAAGGGCUAUCUUAACCUGAAAAGAUGACAGGUUUGAUGCCAGAUGGACCCCAGUGAGGAUAUUCCAUAGAUGGGAUGAUCACCCAGAAAGCCCCCCCCCCCUUGUUGCCACCCUCCAACCCUCCCUUGGAGUUGACACUCAGAGAAAAGCCUCAAAAGUUUCCCAUAGUGUAGAUCAAAGUUGAGAGAGGGAGAGGUGCUCCAGCAGGUAUUGCAGUCCUGAAUCUCUAUAGGUUAGAAUCCGUGCCUUGAAUUGGGCCUGGAAGCAUACAAGCAGCCAGUGCAAGUGAGCCAAAACAGAUUGUAUAUGUUCAGACCCAUGGGUCCUAGUUAUUAAUCUCGCAACUACAUUCUACACAAGCUGCAACUUUUGAACCAUCUUCAAGGGCAGCUGUAUGUAGAAUGCAUUGCAGUAAUCUAAUUUAGAGAUUAUCAGAGUGUAAUCUGUCCAGAUAGGGGUGCAGCUGGGAUACUAGCUGAAGGUGGUAGAAAGCACUCUGAGCCAUUGAUGUCACCUGAGUCUCAAGUAAAAAGAUGGAUCAAGGAGCACCUUCAAGCUACGAACAUCCUCCAGGGGGAAUGCAACCCUAUUAACAGGAUGAACACCUUCCAUCCAGUUGGAAGAACCAUGUACCAUCAGCAUCUCAGUCUUGUCUGGAUUGAGCUUCAGAUUGUUGGACCUCAUCUUACCCAUUGUCACAGCCAAGCACCAGGUCUUCACUACAAUGGACAUUACAAAGUCUUCAGGGAAAGAUAUCACUCAGAGUGGCUGCUGAGGUUAAGCCCUGCUGUUUAAACUGUUUCCUGUUAGCGCCACUUAUCUAUAUUGAAGGUUUUAAGAGGCAUACAGCUAUACACGGGUAAAUGAGUAGCAUUUGAUCACAGUACAUUGCUACUACAGAUGGUGCACUUGAAACUUCUACGAAAGGGAGUGGUGUCUGCAGGAAACAGUAAAACAGCAGGGUGAACUUUUAAUCCUGACUUGCUUAGAGUGGCACUCAAGUGCAUUUUUGAAGUUUUGGCUCUGAACCUCAUCUAGAGGCGAGUCAUAGCUGAUAAUUUCUAUGCAAAGUUGGGAAGAUCUAUUCGUCCAGCUAAACAAAUAAAGAUUCCUUCCAGAGGAACUUCUCAUUCGCACAAGUGAAGUUCAGUUCUGUGCUUUUGUAUGAUUGCAUCAGGCACAGCUAAAUGCAUAGUUAGCCUUUGCUAGCAAUUUCUUUUACUCAGUUGGGUUAGUAAUACAUGUUGUUAAUUGUUAAGAUGAAUGGUGAGUUUCUUUGCAGUGUUUAUAAAUACCCCAGUUUACACAGUCAUGCAUUGGAAAAGAAGUCUAAAUGUUAAUACAUUAUAUCCCUAUAUGCAUUAAAAGCUUACAGGACACAUAGUAUGGUAAUUUUACUUUUUUAAACAAUAGCUGCUUUCUCAUCAGAGAAAGUAAACUCCUUCCAAUACACAGAAAUAUCAUUUUUACAAAUCAGAUGGGAUAGAGUAUUUUGGCAGAAGAAGAAUCAACACUUCUAUCCUAGAAGUCCUCCCUGAUAUUUGAAUACUCAAGAAAAAUAUUCCCAUGUGGAGUUGAAAUAUGUUCAUGGUAAUCUUUCCCUUUUAUGUAAUAGCCAAAUGGUUUCAGCCACAAAAAUGGAAUGCAUUUAGACUACAUAAUUUGUAUGCAAGUAUUUUGCUUGAAAUGCCACAGCAGUGAACACUGGUCUAUUGUGAAAUUCCCAAUCCAGUUUGAAACCAUGAGCUCCCCUUGGCAUUCUCUAGUUAGUUGAGAACAUUAGGCUUGGGUUUCUUCAUUUUGUCUGUCUGUUCUGAUAUACUUUAUUUCAAAAGCUGUAUCAUAUGAACAGUUUUUAAAAAACUAUUUAUGGUAUAUCAUGGAAAUUAAAGUUCAAUAAAUGAGAAGUGUCA